rnacentral:rRNA from 1 species
UACGAAGGGGGCUAGCGUUGCUCGGAAUCACUGGGCGUAAAGCGCACGUAGGCGGGUCCUUAAGUCAGGGGUGAAAUCCUGGAGCUCAACUCCAGAACUGCCCUUGAUACUGAGGAUCUCGAGUUCGGGAGAGGUGAGUGGAACUGCGAGUGUAGAGGUGAAAUUCGUAGAUAUUCGCAAGAACACCAGUGGCGAAGGCGGCUCACUGGCCCGAUACUGACGCUGAGGUGCGAAAGCGUGGG